ACUGCUCAGUAACACGUGGACAACGUGCCCUAAAGUGGAGCAUAAUCUCGGGAAACUGAGGAUAAUUCUCCAUAGACCAUGAGAUCUGGAACGACUUAUGGUUCAAAGUUCCGGCGCUUUAGGAUCGGUCUGCGGCCUAUCAGGUAGUAGUGGGUGUAACGUACCCCCUAGCCAAUUACGGGUAUGGGCCUUGAGAGAGGGAGCCCAGAGUUGGAUUCUGAGACACGAAUCCAGGCCCUACGGGGCGCAGCAGUCGCGAAAACUUCACAAUGGGCGAAAGCCCGAUGAGGGAAUUCCUAGUGCUAGCACAUUUGUGUUAGCUUUUCCUUAGCGUAGAUAACUAGGGGAAUAAGGGCUGGGUAAGACGGGUGCCAGCCGCCGCGGUAAUACCCGCAGCCCGAGUGGUGGUCGAUUUUAUUGAGUCUAAAACGUUCGUAGCCGGUCUGAUAAAUCCUUGGGUAAAUCGGGAAGCUUAACUUUCCGAAUUCCGAGGAGACUGUCAGGCUUGGGAUCGGGAGAGGUAUGAGGUACUUCAGGGGUAGGGGUAAAAUCCUGUAAUCCUUGGAGGACCACCGGUGGCGAAGGCGUCAUACUAGAACGAAUCCGACGGUGAGGGACGAAGCCCUAGGUCGCAAACGGGAUUAGAUACCCCGGUAGUCUAGGGUGUAAACGCUGCAGACUUGGUGUUGGGGGCCCUUCGGGGGCAUUCAGUGCCGGAGAGAAGUUGUUAAGUCUGCUACUUGGGGAGUACGUCCGCAAGGAUGAAACUUAAAGGAAUUGGCGGGGGAGCAC
rnacentral:rRNA from 1 species